UACAGAGGUGGCAAGCGUUGUUCGGAAUUACUGGGCGUAAAGGGCGCGUAGGCGGCCUACUAAGUCAGACGUGAAAUCCCCCGGCUUAACCUGGGAACUGCGUCUGAUACUGGAAGGCUUGAGGAUGGGAGAGGGAUGUAGAAUUCCGCGUGUAGCAGUGAAAUGCGUAGAUAUGCGGAGGAACACCGAUGGCGAAGGCAAUCCCCUGGGCCUGCACUGACGCUCAUGCACGAAAGCGUGGGGAGCAAACAGG
rnacentral:rRNA from 1 species